AAAAAGCGAAAGAAAAAAGGAAAAGCUAAACCCUAAUCAGUGUCGUUCGACAGUGACCAGGCGCACGUUUCACAGACGACGACUCAUUGUUCAAACGGCGGCAGCGCGGUGUUACCCACGAACAGCAGCGGGCGCGCUUGUCCUCUUCUUUUCCGGCGACUGCUCCAGCUCUCCAGCGAACGGCGACACCAGUGACGCUUACCCCUCUGCGCAAUCGGACCACACCCGAAUAACCGGAUUUGGAUUACCCAUAGCCUCAAUUUGCAAGUUCAAACCCAUUCGAACACCUUCCAGCAACAAUCCAGUUUUGGAGUCUUUCAAACACUUUUCAGCCAGGCUCUAAGUCCAUUUUGUUGAACCAUUAAUGUGUAAGAAGAGAGCUGCAAUUCUUGCUAGACGCUCCUUAAUAGCAUUAUGCAACAUACGAUCUUCAUGUAGCUCCUCAGUAUCAAACAAAGUCCUAAAUCAAGUUAGAAAUUUAAGCAUUGCUUCUGAAAGAGAGGAAUAUCAGAACGAUAAUGGAUAUCAUGCAGAUAACUCUUUGCAGAGUUACCAAAGCCAUGGUGGAUUUAGCAGUGACAGCCAAAGCCCUGGGUACUAUCAGCAUCAUGCCCAAAGUGCUAGUUUCCAAAGCUCUUCUUGGCCUAAUCAGAAUAUUCUACUUGAGCGUAGAGAAAAUUUAACUGCUUACAAUGGGUUUAACAAUGGAGAACUGCAGCAGAACAAUUAUGAGGUUUCUGGACAGAAUUCAUGGGGCACACAGAUUGAGUCCAGACAAUUUGUACAUGGCAACAGCCUAAAUUACCGCAAUUCUAUGCCAGGACUAAACAAUCAUAUUCCCAUCUCAAGACAAUAUGAGCAAAACUCUAUGUCUCAGCCACAUCCACAGGGGCAAUAUCAACAAGGUGGCAGUGUUGAACUAUAUCAGCCAAACCCAGAUACUAUUCAGAGUCGCACGAUUGGUACUCAAGUAUUAAACAACACCAAUGCUGAUGAGGAAAUUGGCGUGACUAAGGAUAACCCAUAUGGUGGUACCCUUGAGGAGCUUGAUGAAUUCUGCAGGGAAGGAAAAUUGAAGGAGGCUGUGCAAAUUCUGGAAAUGUUAGAGAAACAAAACAUUCCUGUUGAUUUAUCCCGGUAUUUAAAUUUGAUGAAUGCAUGUGGGGAAGCAAGGUCCCUAGAAGAAGCCAAGGUGGUUUGUAAUUACGUAAUAAAAUCUCAAACCCCUCUCAAAGUUAGCACCUAUAACAAAAUUCUGGAGAUGUACUCUAAAUGUGGUUCCAUGGAUGAUGCCUAUAUGAUAUUCAAUAAAAUGCCCAGCCGCAACCUAACAUCUUGGGAUACUAUGAUUACGUGGCUUGCUAAGAAUGGCCUAGGGGAAGAUGCUAUUGACCUUUUCUACGAGUUCAAAAAAACUGGGUUGAGAAUUGAUGGAAAAAUGUUCAUUGGAGUUUUCUCGGCAUGUAGUGUCUUGGGAGAUGUUGAUGAGGGGAUGUUACACUUUGAAUCAAUGACAAAGAAUUAUGGCAUCAUUCCUUCUAUGCAACAUUAUGUUAGUAUAAUAGACAUGCUUGGUAGUGUAGGUUAUGUAGAUGAAGCAUUGGAGUUCAUUGAAAAGAUGCCAUUUGAGCCAGGGGUAGAUAUUUGGGAAGCAAUGAUGAAUAUCUCUAGAGCUCAUGGGUUGAUGGAGCUUGGUGAUCGUUGUUUUGAGCUUGUCGAGCAGCUUGAUCCCUCUCGCUUAAAUGAGCAAUCAAAAGCUGGCCAUUUGCCUAUAAAAGCUUUAGACCUUGCAAAAGAGAGAGAGAAGAAAAAAUUAGCCAACCGGAAUCUUUUAGAAGUCAGGAGCCGAGUACAUGAAUAUCGAGCUGGAGAUACUUCUCACCCUGAGAAUGACAGGAUCUAUACCUUGCUUAGGGGUCUGAGGGAACAAAUGAAGGAGGCUGGUUAUAUUCCAGAGACUCGAUUUGUACUCCAUGAUAUAGAUCAGGAAGGCAAAAAUGAUGCUCUACUUGGUCAUAGUGAGAGACUUGCUGUUGCAUAUGGUCUAAUCAGCAGCUCAGCCCGCUCACCCAUUAGAGUAAUUAAGAACCUUCGAGUUUGUGGUGAUUGCCAUAGUGCACUAAAGAUAAUUUCAAAAAUUGUGGGUCGAGAACUCAUCAUCCGUGAUGCUAAGAGAUUUCACCAUUUUAAAGAUGGAUUAUGCUCUUGCCGUGAUUACUGGUGAAGAAAACGAAACUUGAGGCUUCAUCAAGGUGAACCAUGAGCUCCAUUUCUAUUUUUGCUAGUUGGAGAAGUUCUAAGCGGACACAUGGACAAAGAUUACAUGCUUCCUUGUUCACGAGCUGUUUCAGAAGCUCCAUUACCAUGUUCAAAAGGGUGUCGAGGUUCAAAAUUAACAGAAAGUUCAAAAUUACUAUUCCCAGGCAAAGUCACCGAACUCUCACACUUGGUGGAGGCUUAGGCUUGAGAAUGUAUGGAACAAACCGUUGAUGGCUUGUGCCUGGGCUUGGAUCAAGCCUAAACUAUUCCUCCUAAAGUGAAGCUAUUAUUUCUCGAUAUCUCUUAUUUACUUAGUAAUGUCAUCACCAUUAUCAAUAACCCCAAUUUUGAUGUAGAAGGUUAGCAAGAGAACUAGUGAUAGACAAAUUUGAGCCAGGCAGUCGGUCAAACUAAACAAAAGUCGAAUUGAACAAAUUCUAUUUUGUUUUCCCAAUGAUUUAUUGGUUCAAUUCUAUGUGCUAUUUUAUAUUUGGAUUGGUUUUAUCAAAGUUCUAUAGAGACAAACCAAUGUGUCUGUACAUAUGUUAGUGAACAAAGUAUCAUGUAGCGUGUAA